rnacentral:lncRNA from 1 species
GCAGCUUGAUUUUCCUCUUUCCUCCAGUCACAGUAAGCCAAGUCAAUCUCAAGGAGCAGUAGCAGAAUGGCAGCCCUACACCAUGCAGUAAUACCAACGUUUAGCUUACAGAGGAAUGAGUGAUCUGAACUGCUCCAUCAAUACCAAUGCUGAUGCAAGUGGAUCUGAACCAGGAACAGAGCCGUAUGUCUCCCAAGGAAGGCCCAGCUCUGCCAUUUGAACAAUCCUUCUCCAUCUGCUGCUCCUGCUACAGGAGCUGUGUGUGGAGUGGCAGCGCGGUGACGCCAGGCCUGCAGACACUGCCUCUCUGUCACUCCUGUGUUUCCAGGGAGCCAGGCUGGGUGAGAUCACGUGCAGAAGGCUUCUGAGAAGUGUCUUUGUGUCCCAGCCCUGAGCUCAAAGCAGAGAUCACCUCACAGCUUGCUUUAGUCAGGGCUGAUGAAGGAGAAAUGCUGCUGAAUUUGCCUGGACACUCAAAGCCAGGGUAGGUUUUGAUUCUCAAUUGGUCAGGUCCAAAGUUUUCUGUAGCUUUUCUUGUCUAGAAUAGGAAUAUCUAGACCAGGAUGCUUCCGACCACCCUUCCAAGGCUCUCUGGUUUCAUUAAUUGG